GACGAACGCUGGCGGCGUGCCUAAUACAUGCAAGUUGAGCGCUGAAGGCUGGUACUUGUACCAACUGGAUGAGCAGCGCACGGGUGAGUAACGCGUGGGGAAUCUGCCUUUGAGCGGGGGACAACAUUUGGAAACGAAUGCUAAUACCGCAUAAAAACUUUAAACACAAGUUUUAAGUUUGAAAGAUGCAAUUGCAUCACUCAAAGAUGAUCCCGCGUUGUAUUAGGUAGUUGGUGAGGUAAAGGCUCUCCAAGGCGAUGAUACAUAGCCGACCUGAGAGGAUGGGUGGCCACCUUGAGAGUGAGACCCGGCCCAAAGUCCUUCGGGAAGCAGCAGUAGGGAAUCUUGGGGCAUGGGUGGAAAUCUUAGCACGAAGCGCCGCGUGAGGAAAGAAGGUUUUCGGAUCGUAAAACACUGUUGGUAGAGAAGAAAGUUGGUGAGAGUGGAAAGCUCAUCAAGUGACGGUAACUACCCAGAAAGCAACGGCUAACUACGUG
rnacentral:rRNA from 1 species